rnacentral:rRNA from 1 species
UAGGGAAUCUUCCACAAUGGGCGCAAGCCUGAUGGAGCAACACCGCGUGAGUGAAGAAGGGUUUCGGCUCGUAAAGCUCUGUUGUUGGAGAAGAACGUGCGUAAGAGUAACUGUUUACGCAGUGACGGUAUCCAACCAGAAAGUCACGGCUAACUACGUGCCAGCAGCCGCGGUAAUACGUAGGUGGCAAGCGUUAUCCGGAUUUAUUGGGCGUAAAGCGAGCGCAGGCGGUUGCUUAGGUCUGAUGUGAAAGCCUUCGGCUUAACCGAAGAAGUGCAUCGGAAACCGGGCGACUUGAGUGCAGAAGAGGACAGUGGAACUCCAUGUGUAGCGGUGGAAUGCGUAGAUAUAUGGAAGAACACCAGUGGCGAAGGCGGCUGUCUGGUCUGCAACUGACGCUGAGGCUCGAAAGCAUGGGUAGCGAACAGGAUUAGAUACCCUGGUAGUCCAUGCCGUAAACGAUGAGUGCUAGGUGUUGGAGGGUUUCCGCCCUUCAGUGCCGGAGCUAACGCAUUAAGCACUCCGCCUGGGGAGUACGACCGCAAGGUU